AUGAACUCCACUGAGCCCACUGUCGUAAUAAAGGUUUUUCUCCACCUCUUCAAGUGACCAUCAGAUGCUCGAGUCUUCAAAUUGCAAUAGCUGUGAUGCUGAGCUGUGACACUCUGCUGUAACACUGAGCUCUAACACUUGGCUGUGCCUCAGAGCUGUAACACUUGGCUAUAGCACUGAGCUGUUCUGCUUUGCCACAACACCCAGAGCACUGGGAUUACAGGUGUAGCCCACAUUAGCUCAGAGGGAAUGUUGUAUAUUUUUGGGGGGUACCAGGGUUUGAACUCAGGACCUUGUGCUUGUGAGGCAGGCGGUGGAACCACUGAGCUAAAUCCCCAGCCUGGGAAUGUUGUAUUAAAUCAUCACUGCCAGACCAUCAGUUUUCUCUCUGAAGAUACACACCAGGUCAUGGAGCAGAAGCGGUAAACUCACAGAGGUGCUGAAUGACCAACAAGUGACAAGAACCUGUUGAUGUGAGGACUUUCUUAGGCAGAUACAGCUGUGGAAAUGGAUGGCUCUGGACCAGCCUAGCCCUCUCUCUCUCUCUUUAAAUUCUGAGACAAGAUCUCACUUAGUCACUAAGUUGCCCAGGCUGGACCUAAACUUGUGAUCCUCCUACCUCAGCCUCGAAGAAUGCUGGGAUUACAGUAUGUCCGGAAUCUUCCGAUCAGCACCUGUCUGGGUUGCUAUGUAUGUAUCCACGUUGACAGUUCAUGUACUGCAGUGUAUUUAUCACCUCCCUUUCGAAUUGAACUGAGAACUCUAAGCGCCUGAUUUAAACCAUCAGCUGGAGAGCUUGCUGAGGCAGGCACAGCUGAAAGGCUUGGGCUCUGUGGUUGCCGAGCAAGACCUGAGCAGUCAGUCGCCCCUUGAACUGUAGGGCUCUGCACCUUGCUUCCCUAUGCUCACCACUUGUGGUAUUUGGAACUGGAUAGAGCCAGAAAUUCCAAAAAGAAGCCACCUCAGCAAAAUCAACAAUCUGUUUUUCCUUGAAAAUUCAAAGACGCACUAGACAAAUGAGUCCCUCUGAAAAGCUGUCCUUUUGUAAAGGAAAAUGAUAUCUACAAAGAAAAAUGAUCACCAGACAAGGUACCGGGAAGAGAGGCUUCAGACAACUUCUACAGCCUGAAAGCCUUUCAUCUACAAAAAGCAAACUGCUUUAUCCACCGUCCAUUUCCUUCUCUCCCUCUUAUAAUUUGUCUCCAUCUGCCCCAGAAGCCCGGUGCUCUUCCUGCCCUCAGGAUGCUCUAUAAACCUCGGUCAUGGGACCUUUCUGUGUGUCUCAUACUUUGGUGGGAUUUCCAUGUGUGAGAAAGCAGUUACAAUGGUUUCUCUCCUAUGUCAGUUUAAACUGUAGCCAAAGACGCCAGGAGGGCAGAGAGAAGCCAAGGGUCCCUCUCCCCAAAGGCAAG
rnacentral:lncRNA from 1 species